CUUUGCGAUGAUGAUAAAUGUUUAAUCCCAGCUCAUUAUGAGACCCUUUGAGGGUCUGGGAAUAGUCUUUAUCCACAUUUCUCUGAGCCCAUAU